rnacentral:rRNA from 1 species
GUGGGGAAUAUUGCACAAUGGGCGCAAGCCUGAUGCAGCAACGCCGCGUGAGGGACGACGGCCUUCGGGUUGUAAACCUCUUUUAGCAGGGAAGAAGCGAAAGUGACGGUACCUGCAGAAAAAGCGCCGGCUAACUACGUGCCAGCAGCCGCGGUAAUACGUAGGGCGCAAGCGUUAUCCGGAAUUAUUGGGCGUAAAGAGCUCGUAGGCGGUUUGUCGCGUCUGCUGUGAAAUCCCGAGGCUCAACCUCGGGUCUGCAGUGGGUACGGGCAGACUAGAGUGCGGUAGGGGAGAUUGGAAUUCCUGGUGUAGCGGUGGAAUGCGCAGAUAUCAGGAGGAACACCGAUGGCGAAGGCAGAUCUCUGGGCCGUAACUGACGCUGAGGAGCGAAAGGGUGGGGAGCAAACAGGCUUAGAUACCCCGGUAGUCC